rnacentral:misc_RNA from 1 species
CUGCACCACCUACUACGCCAAGAUCACUACCAAAGCUAAUAUCAUCAGGAAGAGUGAGAAUCUCUGAAUGAGCACGUCGGUGGCCCAAAUUCUUAGGUGGGUUAUCAGGCAUACGGCUAAUGUCAUGACUAAAGCUGCUAGAAUCUGAUCCAUGACCAAAAUGACUAGGGUCUGAACUAGUAGCUGGAGCCAUGGGAGGAAAUGAAGACGAUGAUGGCUCAGGUUUCACAGUAAAAGAACUUCCAGAUGGUGAAAAACCUGAGAAACGACCCGACGGCGGUGGUAAACCACUGCUAUGAUCUGGGGCUUUGUCCUUAUCCAUCUACAGAAGUAUACAGCGUCUAAAACAGAUUUGGCAAAGACCAGAAGGGGAACACCAACAGGUCGUGAUAUUAAGGUAUGCACCACCCAAAAUACUAACACCCGGAGUUCAAAGGAAACCCUAGGGGCACAGAAAUU